CCGAGCCGUCUCACCAGCCCUAGAAGCUAAGUUUUAGGGCGGGGGAGAUGGCUCAG
rnacentral:miRNA from 1 species